UCUGGAUGGACGAGACUUGAGUCCACAGUGUAGGAACACUGAAGUGAUAGUGCAGGUGCUUGUUAGAGAACAAGGGUACUGAGCGUGACCAAGACAAGAAGUCACUUGGAUGUCUAUCCACUCGUCAGUGACUUGCUUGAUGUUGUAGUAGUGUGACUGGUCCUUUGACCUGCGGUGCUUCGGCUACUCACAGUGAGGUUAUUGUAGUUUGACUGCACACAUACAUAGUCUCUAGCCAUAUGGGUCCAUGUAGUGUAGAUUGGCUGCAGUAAGUUCACUGUAGGAGUAGGGUAUGCACCUACAAGGAAUCUAUC
rnacentral:lncRNA from 1 species